rnacentral:rRNA from 1 species
UGCCAGCCGCCGCGGUAAUACGGAGAGUGCAAGCGUUGUUCGGAAUCAUUGGGCUUAAAGAGCGUGUAGGCGGAAUGUCAGGUGUCGUGUGAAAGCCCAGGGCUCAACCUUGGAACUGCUUUCAAAACUCACAAACUAGAAUCUGGUAGGGGUUAGUGGAAUUCCUAGUGUAGAGGUGAAAUUCGUAGAUAUUAGGAGGAACACCAGUGGCGAAGGCGACUAACUGGACCAGAAUUGACGCUAAGGUGCGAAAGCGUGGGGAGCAAACAGGAUUAGAUA